rnacentral:rRNA from 1 species
UACGUAGGGGGCAAGCGUUGUCCGGAAUCAUUGGGCGUAAAGAGCGUGUAGGCGGCCCGGUAAGUCCGCUGUGAAAGUCGGGGGCUCAACCCUCGAAUGCCGGUGGAUACUGUCGGGCUAGAGUGCGGAAGAGGCGAGUGGAAUUCCUGGUGUAGCGGUGAAAUGCACAGAUAUCAGGAGGAACACCGGUGGCGAAGGCGGUGGUCUGGGCCGGCACUGACGCUGAGGAGCGAAAGCGUGGGGAGCAAACAGG